GGCGAUGUGGUGUAAUGGAUAGCACAUCAGUCCGGUCUACUGAAGAUGCUGGAUCGCUCCCAGCCGUAAUCC